rnacentral:rRNA from 1 species
GAUGAACGCUGGCGGCGUGCCUAAUACAUGCAAGUCGAGCGAACAGACGAGGAGCUUGCUCCUCUGACGUUAGCGGCGGACGGGUGAGUAACACGUGGAUAACCUACCUAUAAGACUGGGAUAACUUCGGGAAACCGGAGCUAAUACCGGAUAAUAUAUUGAACCGCAUGGUUCAAUAGUGAAAGACGGUUUUGCUGUCACUUAUAGAUGGAUCCGCGCCGCAUUAGCUAGUUGGUAAGGUAACGGCUUACCAAGGCAACGAUGCGUAGCCGACCUGAGAGGGUGGUCCGGCACAAUGGAAAUGGAGAACGGUCCCGAAUCCUAAGGGAGGGCAGAGUGGGGGAACUUUCCGAAUGGGGGGAAGGCUGGACGGGGCAACGCGGGUGGGUGGAGGAAGGUUUUGGGUUGGAAAAACUCUUUUAUGGGGGAAAAACAAAGGUGUAAGUAACAAUGCACGUCUGGAGGUAACCAAAGCAGAAGGCCAGGGCAAAUUAGUG